rnacentral:tRNA from 1 species
GCCUGGGUGGCUCAGUCGGUUGAGCGUCCAACUCUUGAUGUUGGCUCAGGUCAUAAUCUCAUGGUUCAUGAGUUCAAGCCCCGUUUCAGGCU